GGCAACUGUACCUGUGGAUAGUAACUUCUGGAAGGAAGGCCCGGCUGCCUCUGCAGUAGACAGUGACAAAGCUGGAGCACUUAAGAAUUAUAUGUCAACAGGAAUCUACAUCUUUCCCACCAGCAGAAAAAGACAGAGAAAAGUCAAGAGGGAAGUGAAAGACAGAGAUGGGAAGAAGCAAGAAAGAGAUCUGCGACAGUGAUUCACUGCUCAUGAAGCUUUUCUCCUGUGAGGAUCAGACUGGGGACUUACACCUGGAUCCUUGCACAUUGCAAUGCGUCU